AGUUGAAUGAGUCAAUGUAAACAGAAGGAUUUGUGUCCCCCUUGAGAGAAAACUGGGGGAAGUCCUGGGACCCUUUUAGGGCAGGGAGGAGCUGGAUGAACCUGGGCAUCUGCCGCCCUCGCCAACAGGAGUUGUGGGAGUGCUCCCUUCCCCAGGAGGUCACAGAAAACAAGCAUGUCCAGUGUGCCAGAGGAUUCGGACUGAGAGAACUACUCUUUUCCUUUAAGUGUGAUUGUUCAUCUCAGGAUAAAAUGGGAAAGGAAUGACCAAACCAACAGAACAUAAGAAAGAAGAACUCGGAGUCCAGGAAAGUCCUGAAAAUCUCGACAAUUAGAAAGUCUUCAGUGGAGCUGGGAAACUGAAAACUUUCCAGGGGAAGCAGAAACCCAGGUUCUGUUACUUUGCUUCUGGAGACUUGAGCUUUGAUUCUACAGGACUCUGACAGGUGCUCUCGAAGGCAGGUGUUUAAUAACUUUGGAGACUGUGACACUAGAAUAGAGGAAAAACUUCCAAGACUCUCAUAGACAGAUAUAAAGAAACUGCUUUAAGGGAUCAGAGUUGACUUAGAAAGCCAAUAAAAGCCCCUUUGGAAAGCUGGCCUCCUACCUUGUCUACCCAGUUCUUGUACAGGUUUCUGACCUGUGCUGUGCCUUCUUAAAGGCUGGAGCCUGGAGCACAUGAGGAGAAUUCACAGAAGUGCCUGGAAAGGGAACUGCGGUGGAUCUUACAGAGACUUGAAACAUGUGGAGAAGUUUGGCUUUUAUUCAUAAAGGACAAAGUGCUGCCUCCACCUCCCCACCUGUCUAGUUUUAUUCAGUGAUGUCUAUCCUCAUGACUUGGGCCAUUUUCAUCAUCACGUCUAUUUGGUUACCUAGGUCUGCCGUUUUUUGUUUUUGUUUUUUCCCAAAUGCUUUCCACAUAAGAUGGCCUAGGUGUCAAUUGCUUAUCUCAGUGGAAUCAUUUCUACUCACCUAUAAAAUGGGAGUAAUAAAAAUGCUAUGUAUCCGAUUGUUGUGAGGAUGAAAUGGGAAUACUUGGACAUGGGGCCUGGUUGCUGGUGGAGGCAUCUGCUCUGUUCCCUGCUGCAUCCCUCACUUCCUGCCAUCCUCUUGCCCCACUUCUGCAGUGCUGAGUGACAGGCCCACAGCCUCCAUGCCCUCCUGUUCCUUCCUUCUCUGCUGAUCUUUUCUGUUUCCAGACACAUCUGCCACUACUGUCUGGUCCAAACACUCUUUCACCUAGGAAGUUUAAGCACGUUGUUGAACUAGAAAUAAUGUAUUCACUCAGUUACUUAUACACACAUUCUUUUCCCACUCAUUAAAAGUGGUUUGAAAAAUUUAUUUCAUUGUUCUUAAAGUGCUGAAUCAAGUGUUUUUCCUUUGGUUGGGAAAGGCCUUUGCCGUUUACCUUCAUCCACUCAUUCAUUUGUGAAGAUGUGUGUGCAGGCCCUAUGGUGACAGUGUCUGUCUAAAGUGAAGAGCUCAGCACCCAAACUCUAGAACAUCUGAAAACGUAGCUAGAUCCUGUGUUCUCUUCUCUAACAGAGUUAAAGUUAAGGUGCAUUUACUCAGUGCCUAGGGGGUAAAAAUGUGCGGUUCAGACUUCAACCAUGUGGGUGCUGUUUUUACCCAGAAUACCAACUGAUUCCAGGAAAGAGUAUUAGGAGAUUCAAGAUUUCUAUUUCUUUUGAACAUAUGUUAUUAGAGUUAAUUGUUAGGAAACUAUUUUAAAGAUAAUUAUUUGAAUACUGAAAAUGACUUUGAUUUCUAACAGGAAGCCAGGCUCACUUGUUACUUCCACAUAUGUGAUGAAGGCAAAAGACCACAGUUGCAUACAUUUGCAUAGUUAUCCUCGAGACUGGAAAUGUCAGUAAGAUGCAAUUGAUUGACUUGCUGAUUGUCUUUCCUCAUGUGAGCGUCUUUUCCAUGUUCAUGACCCACCACUGAUAUUCUGUGGAACUGAACUAAAACUAUGGUCCCCGAAGCCUUGUUGGGGGUGUGGAGGAAGGCGAGAGAGUGGAGGGGAGGGGACGGACACAGUAUUCCUGUCAGGGUGCAGCUGCAGCUCUGCUCCAAGGCACACUUUUCCUCUGGAUUCCACAGAAUUUCUCCCAGGGUCAUCCUUCUCCAGUAGCAGCCCCUCCACCUGGAGCAUCACUGGUGGGCAGUUGUGGCGUCAGGCACUGUCUCUGCCCUCAUCUGCUCUGGCUGGGGCAGCAGGAUUGAUUUCAUUCAAAAGACAACUGGUUUUCAUGGCAGGGGCUAUAGUGAGCAGAGCAGAGAACAGGCACUUGGGCGUCCUACUGGCUUUCUUCUUGCCUGAGGCUAGUCCUCCUUGAGCCAAUCCUAUGUCUCCUAGAGCACUUAGUUGUCCCUCUGUACUUUCAACCUCUGGCUCCCGCCCUAUAGUCAUAAAUGUGCUAGAGGCUUAAAACAAAUGCCUCACCACCACCUUUUAUCUCGCCUACCAACAAGUACCCCCCAAAAUUAGGGUUAGCUGAGCAUGGUGUCUCAUGCCUGUAAAUCCCAGCACUUUGGGAGGCCGAGGCAGGAGGAUCACCUGAGCUCAGGAGUUCCAGACCAGCCAGGGCAACAAAGUGAGACCCUGUCUCUAGAAAAAAAAAAAAAAAUUUAGCCAAGCAUGGUGGCACACAGCUGUAGUCCCAGCUACUUAGGAGGCUGGAGGACCACUUGAGCCUGGGAGGUCGAGGCUAUAGUGAGCUGUGAUUGUGCCACUUCACUCCAGCCUGGGCAACAGAGUGAGACCCUGUCUCAUAAAAAAGAAAAUUAAGGUCAUAUUUGCUGUUUACUUCUCUAUCUUCCAUUCAUUUCUUUUUGGUGACAGCUUAAUUGAGAUAGAAUCCAACAUAUCAUACAAUUCACCCAUUGAAGUGUAUAAUUCAAUAGUUCUUAAUAUAUUCACAGAUUGCCAUCAACCCCAAAGGAAACCCUGUGGCCAUUAGCAGUCACUCCCAUUCCCUCCUCUGCUCAGCUGUAGGUAACCACUAAUCAACUUUUUGUCUAUUC
rnacentral:lncRNA from 1 species